CAAAAACAUGUCUUUUUGUUAAAAAUUUAAAGUCUGACCUGCCCACUGAUAAAUAUUAAAGGGCCGCGGUAUUCUGACUGUGCAAAGGUAGCAUAAUCAUUUGUCUCUUAAUUGGAGGCUGGAAUGAAUGGUUGAAUGAAAUAUUAACUGUCUCAUUAUUAAAAUAAUAAAAAUUUAGCUUUUAAGUUAAAAGGCUUAAAUAAAUUUAAAGGACGAGAAGACCCUAUAGAUCUUUAUAAUUAUAUUAAUUUUAUUAAAUUGAAUUAAUAUUAAUUAAAAAUAAUGUAAUUAUUUUAUUGGGGUGAUAGGAAAAUUAAUUAAACUUUUUUUAGUAAUUAAACAUUGAUUUAUGAAUAAUUGAUCCAUUAUUAGUGAUUAUAAGAUUAAGUUACCUUAGGGAUAACAGCGUAAUUUUUUUAAAGAGUUCUUAUCGAUAAAAAAGAUUGCGACCUCGAUGUUGAAUUAAAGGUUAUUUCUAGAUGUAGCAGUUUAGAGUUUAGGUCUGUUCGACCUUUGAAUCUUUACAUGAUCUGAGUCAAACCGGA
rnacentral:rRNA from 1 species